rnacentral:rRNA from 1 species
GACCACCCAGGGCCGGAAAGCUAUCC